rnacentral:rRNA from 1 species
AGUGAACGCUGGCGGUAGGCCUAACACAUGCAAGUCGAACGGCAGCACAGUAAGAGCUUGCUCUUACGGGUGGCGAGUGGCGGACGGGUGAGGAAUACAUCGGAAUCUACUUUUUCGUGGGGGAUAACGUAGGGAAACUUACGCUAAUACCGCAUACGACCUACGGGUGAAAGCAGGGGAUCUUCGGACCUUGCGCGAUUGAAUGAGCCGAUGUCGGAUUAGCUAGUUGGCGGGGUAAAGGCCCACCAAGGCGACGAUCCGUAGCUGGUCUGAGAGGAUGAUCAGCCACACGAGAACUGAGACACGGUCCAGACUCCUACGGGAGGCAGCAGUGGGGAAUAUUGGACAAUGGGCGCAAGCCUGAUCCAGCCAUACCGCGUGGGUGAAGAAGGCCUUCGGGUUGUAAAGCCCUUUUGUUGGGAAAGAAAAGCAGCAGGUUAAUACCCCGCUGUUCUGACGGUACCCAAAGAAUAAGCACCGGCUAACUUCGUG